rnacentral:rRNA from 1 species
AGAGUUUGAUCCUGGCUCAGGAUUAACGCUAGCGGCAGGCAUAAUACAUGCAAGUUGAACGAGAUUAGUUUUAGCAAUAGAACUAGUUUAGUGGCGCACGGGUGCGUAACGCGUAUGCAACCUACCUUAAACAGGGGAAUAGCCUCCCGAAAGAGAGAUUAAUACCGCAUAACAUCCCUUCAGGACAUCCUGAGGGGAUCAAACCUACGGGGGUUUAAGAUGGGCAUGCGUGACAUUAGCUAGUUGGUGAGGUAACGGCUCACCAAGGCAACGAUGUCUAGGGGGUCUGAGAGGAUGUCCCCCCACACUGGUACUGAGACACGGACCAGACUCCUACGGGAGGCAGCAGUAGGGAAUAUUGGUCAAUGGGGGCAACCCUGAACCAGCCAUGCCGCGUGCAGGACUAAGGCCCUAUGGGUCGUAAACUGCUUUUGAACGGGAAGAAAUGUAUCUACGUGUAGAUAUUUGACGGUACCGUUAGAAUAAGGAUCGGCUAACUUCGUGCCAGCAGCCGCGGUAAUACGAAGGAUCCAAGCGUUGUCCGGAUUUACUGGGUUUAAAGGGUGCGUAGGCGGACUUAUAAGUCAGUGGUGAAAGCCUUCAGCUUAACUGAAGAACUGCCAUUGAAACUGUGAGUCUCGAGUUCGGUUGAGGUCGUUGGAAUGUAACAUGUAGCGGUGAAAUGCAUAGAUAUGUUACAGAACACCAAUUGCGAAGGCAGAUGACUAAACCGAAACUGACGCUGAGGCACGAAAGCGUGGGGAUC